rnacentral:snoRNA from 1 species
AACCUAUGGUGUGGGCAUUGGGAUUGAUAUCACUUGAACCGUUCCCAUGCUUCAUACAACGUCUCGCUGUUAUUCUAGGCGAAGCUUGAGAUUUCAUUCCUAAGACG